rnacentral:rRNA from 1 species
UACGGAGGGUGCAAGCGUUAUCCGGAAUUAUUGGGCGUAAAGAGCUCGUAGGCGGUUUGUCGCGUCUGCCGUGAAAGUCCGGGGCUUAACUCCGGAUCUGCGGUGGGUACGGGCAGACUAGAGUGCAGUAGGGGAGACUGGAAUUCCUGGUGUAGCGGUGAAAUGCGCAGAUAUCAGGAGGAACACCGAUGGCGAAGGCAGGUCUCUGGGCUGUAACUGACGCUGAGGAGCGAAAGCAUGGGGAGCGAACAGG